AGGUUUUCGGAUCGUAUACUCUGUUGUUACGGAAGAACGGGUACCGGUCGAUAGGGGGGUACCUUGGCGGUACCUAACCUUAAAGUCAGGGCUAACUACUUGCCUGCAGCCGGGGUAAUACGUAGGUGGCAAGUGUUGUCCGGAAUUAUUGGGCAUAAAGGGUUCGCAGGCGGUUUCUUAAGUCUGAUGUGAAAGCCCCCGGCUCAACCGGGGAGGGUCAUUGGAAACUGGGGAACUUGAGUGCAGAAGAGUAGAGUGGAAUUUCACGUGUAGCGGUGAAAUGCGUAGAGAUGUGGAGGAACACCAGUGGCUAAGGCUACUCUCUGGUCUGUAACUGACGCUGAGGAGCGAAAGCGUGGGGAGCGAACAGGAUUACAUACCUCUGUCAGUCCACGCCGUAAAACGAUGAGUGCUAAGUGUUAGGGGGUUUCCGCCCCUUAGUGCUGCAGCUAACGCAUUAGCACUCCGCCUGGGGAGUACGGUCGCAAGACUGAAACUCAAGGAAUUGACGGGGGCCCGCACAAGCGGUGGAUCAUGUGAUUUAAUUCGAAGCAACGCGAAGAACCUUACCAGGUCUUGACAUCCUCUGACAUCCUAGAUAUAGGACGUCCCCUUUCGGGGCAUAGUGACAGGUGCGCAUGUUGUCGUCAGCUCGGUCCUGAGAUGUUGGGUUAGUCCCGCACGAGCCGC
rnacentral:rRNA from 1 species